GAUGAACGCUGGCGGCGUGCCUAAUACAUGCAAGUCGAGCGAACAGAUAAGGAGCUUGCUCCUUUGACGUUAGCGGCGGACGGGUGAGUAACACGUGGGUAACCUACCUAUAAGACUGGAAUAACUCCGGGAAACCGGGGCUAAUGCCGGAUAACAUUUAGAACCGCAUGGUUCUAAAGUGAAAGAUGGUUUUGCUAUCACUUAUAGAUAGACCCGCGCCGUAUUAGCUAGUUGGUAAGGUAACGGCUUACCAAGGCAACGAUACGUAGCCGACCUGAGAGGGUGAUCGGCCACACUGGAACUGAGACACGGUCCAGACUCCUACGGGAGGCAGCAGUAGGGAAUCUUCCGCAAUGGGCGAAAGCCUGACGGAGCAACGCCGCGUGAGUGAUGAAGGUCUUCGGAUCGUAAAACUCUGUUAUUAGGGAAGAACAAAUGUGUAAGUAACUGUGCACGUCUUGACGGUACCUAAUCAGAAAGCCACGGCUAACUACGUG
rnacentral:rRNA from 1 species